GUUGACCCUGCCAGUAGCAUAUGCUUGUCUCUGAGACUAAGCCAUGCAUGUCUAAGUAUAAAUUAUUCUUUACGGUGAAACUGCGGACGGCUCAUUAAAUCAGUUAUAAUCUACUUGAUCGUGUGCUAUACUCGGAUAACCCUAGUAAUUCUAGAGCUAAUACGUGCUAAAAGCCCUGACUUCAAGCAAUUGGGGAAGGGGUGUAUUUAUUAGAAACGCAAAAACCAAUCAGCUUCGGCUGUCUUUGGUGAUUCAUGGUAACUAUGCAAAUCACGGGAAACAUCCUGUGAUGGUUCAAACGAGUUUCUGACCUAUCAACUUUAGAUGGCAGAGUAGGGGUUUGCCAUGGUGACAACGGGUGACGGAGAAUUAGGGUUCGAUUCCGGAGAGGGAGCCUGAGAAACGGCUACCACUUCCAAGGAAGGCAGCAGGCGCGCAAAUUACCCAAUGCCAAUUCGGCGAGGUAGUGACAAGAAAUACCAAUGUAGGACCCAACGGGUACUACUUUUGGAAUGAGUACAAUUUAAAAACCUUAACGAGGAACGAUUGGAGGGCAAGUCUGGUGCCAGCAGCCGCGGUAAUUCCAGCUCCAAUAGUGUAUAUUAAAGUUGCUGCGGUUAAAAAGCUCGUAGUUGGAUUACGGAGUGGUGUUCAAUGCCAUCUUGGUUGGUCUGGUCUUAGGAUCUUUCUGAUCAUUUUGGUAGUUGUUCACCGAUGUCAUUGUUUUUGCCAACGGUAUUUGCCGUUUGUGCAUGACAUUGACCUUCUAUUUUAUGGCAAUUUGGGUGUCUGUUUCUUGUUUAGGCAGGAUUGAGUUUACUUAGGUUUCAUAUAGUUUACUUUGAAAAAAUUAGGGUGUUUAAAGCAGGCUAAAAGGCUUCGGAAUAUAUUAGCAUGGGAUAAUAGAAUACGACUUCGGUCGUAAUUUGUUGGUUUCUACGGCUGAGGUAAUGAUUGACAGGGAUAGUUGGGGUCGCUCGUAUUGAGUUGUCAGAGGUGAAAUUCUAGGAUUAACUCAAGACGAACUAAUGCGAAAGCAUUCGGCAAGGAUGUUUUCAUUAAUCAAGAACGAAAGUUGUGGGAUCGAAGAUGAUCAGAUACCGUCGUAGUCUCAACUGUAAACUAUGUCAACCGAGGAUCCGGUAGCGUUACAUGGAUGACCUUCUGGGCACUCUGUGAGAAAUCAUAAGUAUCUGGAUUUCGGGGGGAGUAUGGUCGCAAGGCUGAAACUUAAAGGGAUUGACGGAAGGGCACCACCAGGAGUGGAAUCUGCGGCUUAAUUUGACACAACACGGGAAAACUUACCAGGUCCGGACACAGAAAGGAUUGACAGAUUGAGAGCUCUUUCUUGAUUUUGUGGUUGGUGGUGCAUGGCCGUUUUUAGUUGGUGGAGUGGUUUGUCUGGUUAAUUCCGUUAACGAACGAGACCUUAACCUAUUAAAUAGCUGCGCGAACACAGGUUCUUUAACUGACUUGUCGCUUAAUGGCGGUAAGACAGUAUCAUUGUUGUAUUUCUCAUCUUUUAAGGUGGGUUUUAUAGCAAUGAUAGGGCCUGC
rnacentral:rRNA from 1 species